rnacentral:rRNA from 1 species
UACAGAGGUCUCAAGCGUUGUUCGGAUUCAUUGGGCGUAAAGGGUGCGUAGGCGGCGCGGUAAGUCGGGGUGUGAAAUCUUGGAGCUUAACUCCGAAACUGCAUUCGAUACUGCCGUGCUUUGAGGACUGGAGAGGAGACUGGAAUUCAUGGUGUAGCAGUGAAAUGCGUAGAGAUCAUGAGGAAGACCAGUGGCGAAGGCGGGUCUCUGGACAGUUCCUGACACUGAGACACGAAGGCCAGGGGAGCAAACGGG